rnacentral:tRNA from 1 species
GGGCCUGUAGCUCAACGGUCAGAGCAGGCGACUCAUAAUCGUCCGGCUGAAGGUUCGAAUCCUUCCGGGCCCA